UACGUAGGGGGCGAGCGUUGUCCGGAUUUAUUGGGCGUAAAGAGCGUGUAGGCGGCCAGGUAGGUCGGUUUGUGAAAAACUGGAGGCUUAACCUUCAGACGUCGACCGAAAACCAUCUGGCUAGAGUCCGGAAGAGGAGAGUGGAAAUUCCUGGUGUGAGCGGUGAAAUGCGCAGAUAUCAGGAGGAACACCAAUGGCGAAGGCAGCACUCUGGGACGUGACUGACGCUGAGACGCGAAAGCGUGGGGAGCAAACGGG
rnacentral:rRNA from 1 species